rnacentral:rRNA from 1 species
UACAGCGGUCUCAAGCGUUGUUCGGAUUCAUUGGGCGUAAAGGGUGCGUAGGCGGCGCGGUAAGUCGGGUGUGAAAUCUCGGAGCUUAACUCCGAAACUGCAUUCGAUACUGCCGUGCUUGAGGACUGGAGAGGAGACUGGAAUUUACGGUGUAGCGGUGAAAUGCGUAGAUAUCGUAAGGAAGACCAGUGGCGAAGGCGGGUCUCUGGACAGUUCCUGACGCUGAGGCACGAAGGUCAGGGGAGCAAACAGG